rnacentral:rRNA from 1 species
GACAGAGGAUGCAAGCGUUAUCCGGAAUGAUUGGGCGUAAAGCGUCUGUAGGUGGCUUUUUUAAGUCCGCCGUCAAAUCCCAGGGCUCAACCCUGGACAGGCGGUGGAAACUACCAAGCUGGAGUACGGUAGGGGCAGAGGGAAUUUCCGGUGGAGCGGUGAAAUGCGUAGAGAUCGGAAAGAACACCAACGCGAAAGCACUCUGCUGGGGCCACACUGACACUGAGAGACGAAAAGCUAGGGGGGAGCGAAUGGG